AAGUCGUAACAAGGUUUCCGUAGGUGAACCUGCGGAAGGAUCAUUAUCACGUAUCCACGUAUAAACCAUUGUGAACUGUUUAUUAACCUUUGGAGCGGAUGAAUGAAACUGUUGUGUUCUCUCCGGAGUCGCGACAUGUGGAGUUUAUCACAGCUUCGAAGUGUAAUUUAACCUAUAUUAACCAUUUUAACCCAAUCUUUAUAACUUUUAUGAACUAACUUUUAUUUUAUACUCUUCGGAGAUAAAAUUCAUUACGAAACAAAGAACAACUCUUAGCAACGGAUAUCUUGGUUCUC
rnacentral:misc_RNA from 1 species